GAUGAAGAACGUAGCGAAAUGCGAUAAGUAAUGUGAAUUGCAGAAUUCAGCGAAUCAUCGAAUCUUUGAACGCACAUUGCGCCCCCUGGUAUUCCGGGGGGCAUGCCUGUUCGAGCGUCAUUACAACCCUCAAGCUCUGCUUGGUAUUGGGCCCCGCCAGUUCUGGCGGGCCCUAAAGUCAGUGGCGGUGCCUUCCGGCUCCGAGCGUAGUAAUUCUUCUCGCUCUGGAGACCCGGUUGUGUGCUUGCCAACAACCCCCAAUUUUUUAAGGUUGACCUCGGAUCAGGUAGGGAUACCCGCUGAACUUAAGCAUAUCAAUAAGCGGAGGA
rnacentral:misc_RNA from 1 species